AGAGCUCGUAGGCGGUUUGUCGCGUCUGCCGUGAAAGUCCGGGGCUCAACUCCGGAUCUGCGGUGGGUACGGGCAGACUAGAGUGAUGUAGGGGAGACUGGAAUUCCUGGUGUAGCGGUGAAAUGCGCAGAUAUCAGGAGGAACACCGAUGGCGAAGGCAGGUCUCUGGGCAUUAACUGACGCUGAGGAGCGAAAGCAUGGGGAGCGAACAGGAUUAGAUACCCUGGUAGUCCAUGCCGUAAACGUUGGGCACUAGGUGUGGGGGACAUUCCACGUUUUCCGCGCCGUAGCUAACGCAUUAAGUGCCCCGCCUGGGGAGUACGGCCGCAAGGCUAAAACUCAAAGGAAUUGACGGGGGCCCGCACAAGCGGCGGAGCAUGCGGAUUAAUUCGAUGCAACGCGAAGAACCUUACCAAGGCUUGACAUGAACCGGUAAGACCUGGAAACAGGUCCCCCGCUUGCGGUCGGUUUACAGGUGGUGCAUGGUUGUCGUCAGCUCGUGUCGUGAGAUGUUGGGUUAAGUCCCGCAACGAGCGCAACCCUCGUUCUAUGUUGCCAGCACGUGAUGGUGGGGACUCAUAGGAGACUGCCGGGGUCAACUCGGAGGAAGGUGGGGACGACGUCAAAUCAUCAUGCCCCCUUAUGUCUUGGGCUUCACGCAUGCUACAAUGGCCGGUACAAAGGGUUGCGAUACUGUGAGGUGGAGCUAAUCCCAAAAAGCCGGUCUCAGUUCGGAUUGGGGGUCUGCAACUCGACCCCAUGAAGUCGGAGUCGCUAGUAAUCGCAGAUCAGCAACGCUGCGGUGAAUACGUUCCCGGGCCUUGUACACACCGCCCGUCAAGUCACGAAAGUGGUAACACCCGAACCGGUGGCCUA
rnacentral:rRNA from 1 species